CAUCUUGUGUUUGGGGCAAUGACACAGUUAGUGAGGUUCUAAUAGAGGGGCGUCUAUUGCUGGUUGAAAACUAUUUCCAAACCCCCUCUUAUGCCUGGGUUCAGCCUUGGCCCUCUUCGGGGUAGAGCCCUGCAACUCUUAAUAUCAAAGUUCAUCUUUUAAGGUUUGUAAAUUGA
rfam:Gossypium raimondii Chr11_contig_919, whole genome shotgun sequence.